rnacentral:rRNA from 1 species
GACGAACGCUGGCGGCGUGCUUAACACAUGCAAGUCGAACGGAAAGGCCCUGCUUUUGUGCGGUGCCCGAGUGGCGAACGCGUGAGUAACACGCGAGUAACCUGCCCUUGACUUUCGGAUAACUUCAGGAAACUGGGGCUAAUACCGGAUAGGAGAUCCUGCUGCAUGGUGGGGGUUGGAAAGUUUCGGCGGUUGGGGAUGGACUCGAGGCUUAUCCGCUUGUUGGUGGGGUAGUGGCUUACCAAGGCUUUGACGGGUAGCCGGCCUGAGAGGGUGACCGGCCACAAGGGGACUGAGGUACGGCCCAGACUCCUACGGGAGGCAGCGGUGGGGAACAUUGCGCAAUAGGCGGAAGCCUGAUACAGCAACGCCGCGUGCGGAAUGACGGGUUUCGGGUUGUAAACCGCUUUCGCCUGAGACGAAGCGUGAGUGACGGUAAUGUAUAAGGAAGCAACGGCUAACUACGUG